UCAGGGUGGAGCCUGCUGGAGAACCAUGGUUGAGACCAGGAGGUCUGAGGAAGUAUUCCUGUCCACUCACCAUCCACAUGAACACAGUGAACAGAGACCUCAAACUGUCUGACAACAACAGGAAGGUGACACAUGUGAAGAAGCUUCAGACAUAUCCUGAUCAUCCAGACAGAUUUGAUAACUGGUGUCCUCAGCUGCUGUGUGAAAAUGUUCUGACUGGUCGCUGCUACUGGGAGGUCGAGUGGAGAGGAUGUGUUUUUAUAUCAGUGAGUUACAGAGAAAUCAGAAGGAGAGGAAACUUCAGAGACUGUUGGUUUGGAUUCAAUGAUCAGUCCUGGAGUCUGAGAUGUUCUGAUGAUGAAGGUUACUCUGUCUGGCACAAUAACAGA